GAAAGAGCGGCAGCCCUUCGGUGAAGCUCACUUCAUUCCUCACCCAUCAUCUCUCCGGCAAAGUAGUGUAGAGAACAGAAUGAGCUACUAUAUGGAUUCCACCAUGGGCAACCCCACUGCAUACUCUGCACCAUGUCCUGCAGUGCUGAGGCAGGGGCCCAUUAACACUUUUGAAGAACCUCGAAUGACCUGUGGAUUCCAGUCCAGCUAUCAUCAGCAAAGACCUCUUUACCUACUCUGGGAUGAAGCUGCUACUCAGGAAGUUCCGACUGGCCUUGAACACUGU